rnacentral:rRNA from 1 species
AACGGGUGAGGAACACGUGAGGAAUCUGCCUUUCACUUCGGGAUAACUCCGGGAAACCGGGGCUAAUACCGGAUAUUUUCAACUGGCGGCAUCGCCGGUUGAAGAAAGUUUUUCGGUGAAAGAUGACCUCGCGGCCUAUCAGCUUGUUGGUGAGGUAAUGGCUCACCAAGGCAACGACGGGUAGCCGGCCUGAGAGGGCGACCGGCCACACUGGGACUGAGACACGGCCCAGACUCCUACGGGAGGCAGCAGUGGGGAAUAUUGGGCAAUGGAGGAAACUCUGACCCAGCGACGCCGCGUGAGGGAUGAAGGCCUUCGGGUUGUAAACCGCUUUCAGUAGGGAAGAAGCGAAAGUGACGGUACCUACAAAAGAAGCACCGGCUAACUAUGUGCCAGCAGCCGCGGUAAUACAUAGGGUGCAAGCGUGUCCGGAAUUAUUGGGCGUAAAGAGCUCGUAGGUCGUUUGUUACGUCGGAUGUGAAAAUCUGAGGCUCAACCUCAGACCUGCAUUCGAUACGGGCAAACUAGAGUUUGGUAGGGGAGACUGGAAUUCCUGGUGUAGCGGUGGAAUGCGCAGAUAUCAGGAGGAACACCAACGGCGAAGCAGGUCUCUGGGCCAAUACUGACACUGAGGAGCGAAAGCGCGGGGAGCGAACAGGAUUAGAUACCCUGGUAGUCCGCGCCGUAAACGGUGGGUACUAGUUGUGGGAACCUUCCACGGUUUCUGCGACGACGCUAACGCAUUAAGUACCCCGCCUGGGGAGUACGAUCGCAAGAUUAAAACUCAAAGGAAUUGACGGGGCCCCGCACAAGCAGCGGAGCAUGCGGCUCAAUUCGAUGCAACGCGAAGAACCUUACCAAGGCUUGACAUAUAGCGAAAAGUGGCAGAGAUGUCAUGUCCGCAAGGGCGCUAUACAGGUGGUGCAUGGUUGUCGUCAGCUCGUGUCGUGAGAUGUUGGGUUAAGUCCCGCAACGAGCGCAACCCUCGUUCUGUGUUACCAGCAUUUAGUUGGGGACUCACAGGAGACUGCCGGGGUUAACUCGGAGGAAGGUGGGGAUGACGUCAAAUCCUCAUGCCCCUUAUGUCUUGGGCUGCACGCAUGCUACAAUGGCCGGUACAGAGGGCUGCGAAACCGUAAGGUGGAGCGAAUCCCAAAAAGCCGUCUCAGUUCAGAUUGAGUCUAAAC